AGGCGGCACGACUAGGGCCGGCCACAAGAGUUCUCAAGACAUCUUUCAUAUAUAUGACAGCGAAAGUUGCUAGGUAUGAUACUAUUGUCAAAUAAGGCACAGUUGUAGAUAAGAUUCACAGAGCAAUUUUUUGCGACUUCUGGUAUUAAUCGUAUCUGCAAGUCUGCAACAUUAAAGCUUUACCUUAGCACAGACAAAGAUGGUAGCUACCAAUAGAAAUGAGGUUCCAACCAACUACGACAGGAAACAAGAACUAAAAGCUUUUGAUGAUACAAAGGAAGGUGUCAAAGGCCUUGUUGAUGCUGGCAUAGCAGAGAUUCCUCGAAUUUUUUACCAUGCACCUGAUGGAUGCUCCAUUGACAAUACCUCUGACCCAGAGGAAACCCAACAUAGCAUUCCAGUCAUUGAUCUCGAAGGCCUAUUCGAUCCAACUAAACGAGAGGAGAUUGUUGCAGCAGUUGGAGAAGCAUCAGAGAGUUGGGGCUUUUUCCAAAUUGAGAAUCAUGGGAUACCUUUAAAUGUGCUGGAGGAGAUGAAGGAAGGAGUACGUGGGUUUCAUGAGCAGGAUACUGAAGUGAAGAAACAGUUUUAUACUCGUGAUAACUUGAGUAAUUCAUUCGUCUACAACAGCAACUUUGAUCUGUAUAGUGCACCGGCAACUAAUUGGAGGGAUAGUUUUAUGUGCUAUAUGGCUCCUACUUCUCCUAAAAAAGAAGAAUUGCCGGAAGUAUGCAGUGAAAUCCUCGCUGAAUACUCGAAUCAAGUAAUGAAGUUGGGGAAGCUAUUAUUUGAGUUGUUUUCUGAAGCCCUUGGAUUGAAGUCAAGUCACUUGAAUGACAUAGGUUGCAGUGAGGGGCUUCUGGUUUUAGGUCAUUACUAUCCUGCUUGUCCACAACCAGAGUUAACAAUGGGUACAAGCAAGCAUGCAGAUAGUAACUUCAUUUCUGUCCUUCUGCAAGAUGACAUUGGUGGUCUUCAAGUCCUUCAUCAAAACAAAUGGAUUGAUGUACCGGGUGCUGUAGUAAUUAAUAUUGGAGAUCUUGGACAGGCAAUAUCAAAUGACAGAUUCAAGAGUGUAGAGCACAGGGUAUUGGCAAACCGUAGGGGUCCACGAGUAUCAGUUGCAAGCUUUUUCAGUACAGGAGUGCGGCCAUCGACCAAGCUCUUUGGACCUAUCAAGGAGUUACUAUCGGAAGAUAAUCCAUCAAAGUACAGGGAGACUACGGUAAGGGACUUCAAUGUGUACUAUAGAGCUAAAGGUCUUGAUGGGAACUCUGCCUUGUCUCAUUUUAAGCUUUGAACCUGGAGGAGGAGGAACCCUGCCAAGAACGUGGUGUACUACUAAAAUCAAUGUUUUAAAAGCCUAAGGCGUAGCCGAGGCGUUUUUGGAAGAGCCUCACAAAGACGUAAGCCUUGAGGCAAAAUGCGAUUGGUUCAUCAAGAGAAUCGGUAUGCUCAAGAGGAGGAGUAGGUGCAUGAGGAAUGUGAGGCUCACGAAGAGGAGAAUGCGCAUGUGGAGGGGUAGGUUCAUGAGGAGGAGAAAGAUCAUGACGACGAGGCUCUCUAUUAAUUAUGGUACCUUCAUAUGUACCACUUGGCACAUUCCUUACCGCCUCAUCAUCCAAUGAUAAAUGAUCCACACUUUCCUCAAUCCAAUUCAAAUAGGUGGGAAGUACUGGAUCUUCUACCUCGGUUAUCCAUUCAUCAUCCGAUUCAAUUUCUUCCACAACAAUUGGAUCGGUCAUUGUAGCAUUUAUUUUCAAGGUUCUAUCUCUUAGAGCAAUAUUAUAUUUCACAUACACUAAAGCAUGC